AGAGUUUGAUCAUGGCUCAGGACGAACGCUGGCGGCGUGCCUAAAACGUGCAAGUCGAACGGUCCGAUUGAAAGAUUGGAUAGUGGCGGACGGGUGAGUAACACGUGAGCAACCUGGCUUAAAGAGGGGGAUAACGCAGGGAAACCUGUGCUAAUACCGCAUAACAUGUAUUGUUCGCAUGGGCGAUACAUCAAAGGAGAAAUCCGCUUUAAGAUGGGCUCGCGUCCGAUUAGAUAGUUGGCGGGGUAACGGCCCACCAAGUCUACGAUCGGUAGCCGGACCGAGAGGUCGAACGGCCACAUUGGGACUGAGAUACGGCCCAGACUCCUACGGGAGGCAGCAGUUGGGGAUAUUAGGCAAUGGGGGAAACCCUGACCUAGCAACGCCGCGUGAAGGAAGAAGGUCUUCGGAUUGUAAACUUCUUUGACGAGGGAAGAAUAAUGACGGUACCUCGAAAACAAGCCACGGCUAACUACGUGCCAGCAGCCGCGGUAAUACGUAGGUGGCAAGCGUUGUCCGGAUUUACUGGGUGUAAAGGGCGUGUAGGCGGAAUUACAAGUCAGAUGUGAAAUGCGGGGGCUUAACCCCCGGACUGCAUUUGAAACUGUUAUUCUUGAGUGAUGGAGAGGUAAGCGGAAUUCCCGGUGUAGCGGUAAAAUGCGUAGAUAUCGGGAGGAACACCAGUGGCGAAGGCGGCUUACUGGACAUUAACUGACGCUGAGGCGCGAAAGUGUGGGGAGCAAACAGGAUUAGAUACCCUGGUAGUCCACACUGUAAACGAUGGAUACUAGGUGUGGGGGGACUGACCCCUUCCGUGCCGGAGUUAACACAAUAAGUAUCCCACCUGGGGAGUACGGUCGCAAGAUUAAAACUCAAAUGAAUUGACGG
rnacentral:rRNA from 1 species